GACAGAGGAUGCAAGCGUUAUCCGGAAUGAUUGGGCGUAAGCGUCUGUAGGUGGCUUUUUAAGUCUGCCGUCAAAUCCCAGGGCUUAACCCUGGACAGGCGGUGGAAACUACCAAGCUGGAGUACGGUAGGGGCAGGGGGAAUUUCCGGUGGAGCGGUGAAAUGCGUAGAGAUCGGAAAGAACACCAACGGCGAAAGCACUCUGCUGGGCCGACACUGACACUGAGAGACGAAAGCUAGGGGAGCGAAUGGG
rnacentral:rRNA from 1 species